GGGGUCUUGGCACAGUGGUAGCGCGCAUGCUUCGCAUGUUGAUGCAAUUUGCAUGAGGUCGUGAGUUCAAUCCUCACAGGCUCCA